rnacentral:rRNA from 1 species
AGCAGCCGCGGUAAUUCCAGCUCCAAUAGCGUAUAUUAAAGUUGUUGCAGUUAAAAAGCUCGUAGUUGAAUUUCGGGAUCAAUAUUUCGGUCAUGCCGUUGGUAUGCACUGUUAUCAUUGAUUUCUCACCUUCUAAAGAACCGUAAUGCCAUUAAUUUGGUGUUACGGGAAUUAGGACUGUUACCUUGAAAAAAUUAGAGUGUUUAAAGCAGGCUCACGCUUGAAUACAUUAGCAUGGAAUAAUGAAAUAGGACAUCCGAUUCUAUUUGUGGUUUCUAGGAUCGAUGUAAUGAUUAAUAGGGAUAGUUGGGGCAUUAGUAUUCAAUUGUCAGAGGUGAAAUUCUUGGAUUUAUUGAAAGACUAACUACUGCGAAAGCAUUUGCCAAGGAUGUUUCAUUAAUCAAGAACGAAAGUUAGGGA